rnacentral:rRNA from 1 species
GGAUAGAGGCCUACCAUGGUUUUAACGGGUAACGGGGAAUUAGGGUUCGAUUCCGGAGAGGGAGCCUGAGAAACGGCUACCACAUCCAAGGAAGGCAGCAGGCGCGCAAAUUACCCAAUCCCGAUACGGGGAGGUAGUGACAAUAAAUAACAAUACAGGGCUCUUAUGGGUCUUGUAAUUGGAAUGAGUACAAUUUAAAUCUCUUAACGAGGAACAAUUGGAGGGCAAGUCUGGUGCCAGCAGCCGCGGUAAUUCCAGCUCCAAUAGCGUAUAUUAAAGUUGUUGCAGUUAAAAAGCUCGUAGUUGAAUUUCGAAAUUUUUUUAUCGGUUGAAUCAACAGGUUCGUACUGAUUUUAAGAAUUUCUACCUUCUGGAGAACCUUAAUGUCAUUUAUUUGAUGUUUUGGGAAACCAGGACUGUUACCUUGAAAAAAUUAGAGUGUUUAAAGCAGGCUUAUGUCUGAAUAUAUUAGCAUGGAAUAAUGAAAUAGGACGGCAUGGUUCUAUUUUGUUGGUUUCUAGGAUCACCGUAAUGAUUAAUAGGGAUAGUUGGGGGCAUUAGUAUUCAAUUGUCAGAGGUGAAAUUCUUGGAUUUAUUGAAGACUAACUUCUGCGAAAGCAUUUGCCAAGGAUGUUUUCAUUAAUCAAGAACGAAAGUUAGGGGAUCGAAGACGAUCAGAUACCGUCGUAGUCUUAACCAUAAACUAUGCCGACUAGGAAUCGGACGAAGUUAA